rnacentral:misc_RNA from 1 species
UGCUAGACUGCUUUGGCAUGGUUCCAGAAUCUUCGAUGUGAAAGGAAUAACUGCAAUCAUCAAACCUUUUUCAUAUGCCUCAAUAAUCAAAGACUUCGGAUCAAUCUCUCGCGCCCUCAAGACAUGAUUCUUUCCAAUUGUGAUUUUGCCUAGCCAGCUUCCAAGGUUUUUCAGCAAAGAACGCUCUUCCGAACUUGACUUUAUCAACUCUGACCCUAAAAGAACCUUGCAGUUCUCGUAGGUUGCUUGGACAAUCUCCUUGAACAGAGAUUUUGAAUUGGCUUUAUCUAAGAACUUCAGGUACAAGUCAUGAAAAUUUG